rnacentral:rRNA from 1 species
CCUACGGGUGACAGCAGUGAGGAAUAUUGGUCAAUGGGCGUAAGCCUGAACCAGCCAAGUCGCGUGAGGGAUGAAGGUUCUCUGGAUCGUAAACCUCUUUUAUAAGGGAAUAAAGUGUGGGACGUGUCCUGUUUUGUAUGUACCUUAUGAAUAAGGAUCGGCUAACUCCGUGCCAGCAGCCGCGGUAAUACGGCGGAUCCGAGCGUUAUCCGGAUUUAUUGGGUUUAACGGGUGCGUAGGCGGCCUGUUAAGUCAGGGGUGAAAGUCUGUGGCUCAACCAUAGAAUUGCCGUUGAAACUGGGAGGCUUGAGUAUGUUCGAGGCAGGCGGAAUGCGUGGUGUAGCGGUGAAAUGCUUAGAUAUCACGCAGAACCCCGGUUGCGAAGGCAGCCUGCCAAGCCAUGACUGACGCUGAUGCACGAAAGCGUGGGGAGCAAACAGGAUUAGAUACCCGGGUAGUC